rnacentral:tRNA from 1 species
ACCUGGCUGGCUCAGUGGGUAGAGCAUGAGACUCUUAAUCUCAGAGUCGUGAGUUAAAGACCCAUAUUAGAUG